GUCAGUGCCUCAUGACGGAUUGCAUGCAGAGUUCAAUAAGUGUUUUCAUUUAUAAUCUGUGUCUACAGCCUUUUCUCAUUUCAAAUAUUUCCCAAAUAACAAGAGAUGCUCUUCUGACAAACAGGCCCCAAAAGAAAAAUAUCAAGCAUCUGACAGCUCCGCAGUUCCGACACAACAGCUCUUAGGUAUUUACCUCUGCUGGGAGAGAAGCCAUCCGAACGCUAACUCCGGAUUAGCGGUGGGGCACUGUCAGCCCUGCUUCACCCAGUUGCACAUCAACACUUAUUUGGCACAGUCAGAGUGAAGACCGGAGGAGGCAUCUUCUCUCUCCCCCCUCUCUCUCUAUGCUGGCAUAAACGAAAUGACAAGCCUCUUUGCUAAGCAAGAGUAUCUCAGAGGUGUGCUCUGAAGUGAGGGCUGUGUCAGCCAGGAGGAUUCCACUGGUCACACAGCAUCAAUUUAUGCUCUUAAGUGGCUCAGGAUGAGAAAGAAAUCCUUUAAUGCCAGGAAUAAAACACAGUAUUUUUAUAUUUGCAUUAGGAAGCGUUUAAAUCCACUAAACUAAAAGCAGAGUUUACUGAAAAUAAACCUUGCAUAAUCCAUGAAAGUGUAAUUUAUAUCAUUAAAGGAGGUGUGAGCUCUCAGUA